rnacentral:rRNA from 1 species
CCCUUAGAUGUUCUGGGCUGCACGCGCGCUACACUGAUGCGCUCAACGAGUUUAUGAACUUGCCCGGAAGGGUUGGUUAAUCUUUUUAAAACGCAUCGUGAUGGGGAUAGAUUAUUGCAAUUAUUAAUCUUCAACGAGGAAUUCCUAGUAAGCGCGAGUCAUCAGCUCGUGCUGAUUACGUCCCUGCCCUUUGUACACACCGCCCGUCGCUCCUACCGAUUGAGUGGUCCGGUGAGGCUUUGGGAUCUGAGCGGAAAGAGCGUUUCGCUGUUUCUGCUCGGAAAACUCAGUCGAACCUUAUCAUUUAGAGGAAGGAGAAGUCGUAACA